rnacentral:rRNA from 1 species
GGGGAAUAUUGCACAAUGGGGGAAACCCUGAUGCAGCGACGCCGCGUGGAGGAAGAAGGUCUUCGGAUUGUAAACUCCUGUUGUUGAGGAAGAUAAUGACGGUACUCAACAAGGAAGUGACGGCUAACUACGUGCCAGCAGCCGCGGUAAAACGUAGGUCACAAGCGUUGUCCGGAAUUACUGGGUGUAAAGGGAGCGCAGGCGGGAGAACAAGUUGGAAGUGAAAUCCAUGGGCUCAACCCAUGAACUGCUUUCAAAACUGUUUUUCUUGAGUAGUGCAGAGGUAGGCGGAAUUCCCGGUGUAGCGGUGGAAUGCGUAGAUAUCGGGAGGAACACCAGUGGCGAAGGCGGCCUACUGGGCACCAACUGACGCUGAGGCUCGAAAGUGUGGGUAGCAAACAGGAUUAGAUACCCUGGUAGUCCACACUGUAAACGAUGAUUACUAGGUGUUGGAGGAUUGACCCCUUCAGUGCCGCAGUUAACACAAUAAGUAAUCCACCUGGGGAGUACGACCGCAAGGUUGAAACUCAAAGGAAUUGACGGGGGCCCGCACAAGCAGUGGAGUAUGUGGUUUAAUUCGACGCAACGCGAAGAACCUUACCAAGUCUUGACAUCCUGCGACGGUUCUGGAAACAGAACUUUCUUUCGGGACGCAGAGACAGGUGGUGCAUGGUUGUCGUCAGCUCGUGUCGUGAGAUGUUGGGUUAAGUCCCGCAACGAGCGCAACCCUUAUGGUCAGUUACUACGCAAGAGGACUCUGGCCAGACUGCCGUUGACAAAACGGAGGAAGGUGGGGAUGACGUCAAAUCAUCAUGCCCUUUAUGACUUGGGCUACACACGUACUACAAUGGCGUUAAACAAAGAGAAGCAAGACCGCGAGGUGGAGCAAAACUCAGAAACAACGUCCCAGUUCGGACUGCAGGCUGCAACUCGCCUGCACGAAGUCGGAAUUGCUAGUAAUCGCAGAUCAGCAUGCUGCGGUGAAUACGUUCCCG